UACGUAGGGGGCUAGCGUUGUCCGGAAUCAUUGGGCGUAAAGAGCGCGCAGGCGGUCGUCCAAGUCGCGUGUGAAAGCCCCCGGCUCAACUGGGGAGGGUCACGCGAUACUGGUCGACUCGAAGGCAGGAGAGGGUAGUGGAAUUCCCGGUGUAGUGGUGAAAUGCGUAGAUAUCGGGAGGAACACCAGUGGCGAAGGCGACUACCUGGCCUGUUCUUGACGCUGAGGCGCGAAAGCUAGGGAGCAAACGGG
rnacentral:rRNA from 1 species